GAUGACCAGUGAGUUGACGUUUUUGCCCCUCAGUUUCUCCUCGCUUCCCGCUUUGUUGCCUGCUUCGUACAGUGGAAAGACGGUUUUGCCCAUUCUUUCCACGCGUCCGUCAUCGUUGAUAUCUCGGCUUCGAGUUCGAGAGUAUUCUAGCUGUGUUCUUCUACGAUUGUUUGUUCUUCUUAAAUAUUGUGGUCUUUGCAUCGAAAAAUAUUGGGGGAAAGUUCCUGCUUUUCGUAUUUCAAGGGAACUUAUUUCUGUUCUCUAAUUUGAUGAGGGUUUUGCAUCUUUUUAAACCCAGAGUUGUGGGUGUUUUGCCCAGCCUCAUAAAAUUGGUCUCUAUUUCUAGAGUUGCGAUCGGGAGGCAAAUAUUUCGCAGUUUUUGCGUUCGUCUUUGUCUGGGAUUCGCGAAUCUUAGCCGAAUCUGUUUCCUGUUUUCUUCUCCGUUUAAGCGCCGGUUGUCUUUAGAUCGUUGGGAAAUAAAUUUUAUACAACUGAGUUGUGGUCUUCACGAGCAGUGCUCCGUUUGCUGUCGUUUUGAACAUCACAAGAGCCGCCUCCCUCCCCACCACUUCCAACGUCUCCUCUCCUUCUAAGGCCGACUGUGGAUGUUUGUCUUUCUUCUCUCCUCUCUUUUUAUUUAUUUAUUUAUUUAUAAUUUUUUUUUUGGAAAUUAAGAUUGCCUACUUACUUCUUUUUCUUUUUUUUUUCCCUAUUUGUUUGUUGUUUUUUUAGUAUUUGCCACUUCUGCUGGUGCCCCUGAUAUGUCGUUAUUAUUAUGUUAAUGCUGCUUUGAUAUUUGUUUGUUGUUUUUUUAGUGCAUGAGAUCGAUCUUUGUUUUAUUAUUAUUUUUUUCAGCUGGUGUUUCAUCUUUCUUGCUACAUCAAUUUGAAGAAUCGGCUAAGAAAAAAAAAAUUAGAAUGAGUUGGAAACUGAGUAGAAAAAUAUUAGAGAGAGAAACAAAGAAUGUGGUUUGAUAAUUGGUAAUAUGAUAAAUCCUUGGGGACAUAUAUAUUAUAUCAAGUUAGCUUAGAAUUUUUUGAUUAAUUUUGAUUAAAAUUUGAUCAUAUAAAAUAAAACAAUUUAUACAUAUUGGAAAUAUGCAUUAAAAAGUUUAAGUCUCACAUUACAUGGAUAAGAAUGACUUUUUUAGAUGUUUAAAUGUUUUUUAUUGAAGAGUGUUUUGUGUUUCUACUGCCGAUAACCAAAUGUUGUAAUGUAUACUUUAAUAUAUUUUCUUGCUGAUAAGCAAAGAGGUUUUUCGUCAAAAAUAUUAGUUGCUGUUUUCGAGUUGCUCCAUUUCUUUCAAAGUUUAUUUCCUUAAGGGAAUUAAGGUGUAUGAAGCAACAAGUUAUUAUGGUUCUGAUGCUUCUAAAAUUUAUGAUUACAGGUUUCAUUUGGCUGUUUGUUUUGCAUGUUUCAUUUUUGCAAAGUAAAGGACAUAUGCAACACCUUCCACGAUUUUAGAACACUUGAAGGUGAGACCUAAGAAAUAAAAUAGCGGUAUGAAAAGUUGUGAUGGCA